UGGGGAAUAUUGCACAAUGGAGGGAACUCUGAUGCAGCGACGCCGCGUGAACGAAGAAGGCUUUCGAGUCGUAAAGUUCUUUUAUAUGCGAAGAUAAUGACGGUACCAUAAGAAAAAGCCCCGGCUAACUACGUGCCAGCAGCCGCGGUAAUACGUAGGGGGCUAGCGUUGUCCGGAAUCACUGGGCGUAAAGGGUUCGCAGGCGGAAAUGCAAGUCAGGUGUAAAAGGCAGUAGCUUAACUACUGUAAGCAUUUGAAACUGCAUAUCUUGAGAAGAGUAGAGGUAAGUGGAAUUUUUAGUGUAGCGGUGAAAUGCGUAGAUAUUAAAAAGAAUACCGGUGGCGAAGGCGACUUACUGGGCUCAUUCUGACGCUGAGGAACGAAAGCGUGGGUAGCAAACAGG
rnacentral:rRNA from 1 species